rnacentral:rRNA from 1 species
UCGGUACGUACUGGCAUUGUUGGUUUCUCCCUUCUGACGAACCAUGAUGUCAUUUAUUUGGUGUUGUGGGGAAUCAGGACUGUUACUUUGAAAAAAUUAGAGUGUUUAAAGCAGGCUCACGCUUGAAUACAUUAGCAUGGAAUAAUGAAAUAGGACGUUUGAUUCUAUUUUGUUGGUUUCUAGGAUCGACGUAAUGAUUAAUAGGGAUAGUUGGGGGCAUUAGUAUUCAAUUGUCAGAGGUGAAAUUCUUGGAUUUAUUGAAGACUAACUACUGCGAAAGCAUUUGCCAAGGAUGUUUUCAUUAAUCAAGAACGAAAGUUAGGGGAUCGAAGACGAUCAGAUACCGUCGUAGUCUUAACCAUAAACUAUGCCGACUAGGGAUCGGAUGAUGUUAAUUUUUUAAUGACUCAUUCGGCGCCUUACG